rnacentral:rRNA from 1 species
GACAGGGGGUGCAAACGUUGUUCGGAAUUACUGGGCGUAAAGCGUGUGUAGGCGGCUUUGCAAGUCGGAUGUGAAAGCCCCGGGCUCAACCCGGGAAGUGCACUCGAUACUGCAGAGCUUGAGUGUCGGAGAGGUUGGUGGAAUUCUCGGUGUAGAGGUGAAAUUCGUAGAUAUCGAGAGGAACACCGGCGGCGAAGGCGGCCAACUGGACGACUACUGACGCUGAGACACGAAAGCGUGGGGAGCAAACAGG